rnacentral:rRNA from 1 species
AGUGAACGCUGGCGGUAGGCCUAACACAUGCAAGUCGAACGGCAGCACAGUAAGAGCUUGCUCUUACGGGUGGCGAGUGGCGGACGGGUGAGGAAUACAUCGGAAUCUACUUUUUCGUGGGGGAUACCGUAGGGAAACUUACGCUAAUACCGCAUACGACCUACGGGUGAAAGCAGGGGAUCUUCGGACCUUGCGCGAUUGCAUGAGCCGAUGUCGGAUUAGCUAGUUGGCGGGGUAAAGGCCCACCAAGGCGACGAUCCGUAGCCGGUCUGAGAGGAUGAUCGGCCACACUGGAACUGAGACACGGUCCAGACUCCUACGGGAGGCAGCAGUGGGGAAUAUUGGACAAUGGGCGCAAGCCUGAUCCAGCCAUACCGCGUGGGUGAAGAAGGCCUUCGGGUUGUAAAGCCCUUUUGUUGGGAAAGAAAAGCAGCAGGUUAAUACCCCGCUGUUCUGACGGUACCCAAAGAAUAAGCACCGGCUAACUUCGUG